rnacentral:tRNA from 2 species
GGGCUUGUGGUUUAGUGGUAUAAUACUCCCUUAGCAUGGGAGUGGUCCGGGGUAAAUAUUUCCCAAUCAUCUUAUACGAUCUUCGCUUAUUAACAUCUACAUUAGGUUCGAUUCCCCGCGAGUCCA